rnacentral:tRNA from 1 species
AGAGUGACCAAGCUAAGUGGUUUAAGGCGUAGCAUUGGAAUUGCUAUGUAGGCUUUUGUUUACCGAGGGUUCGAAUCCCUCUCUUUCUG